CCUUAAUUCUGUUGUGAUUAGAAAAUAUGUCGUUUUUUAUUUCAACUAUCUUAAAUGUAUUUAGACUUGUUUUAUGACCCAAUUUAUCUUAGUCAGUGUACCCUUAAAAAUAAUUUGCCUUCUGCAGUGAUUGGCUGUAAUGUUUUACAAAUAUUAAUUAGGCCAUGUUAGUUGAUCAUAUUGAUGUCUAUGACUUACUCAUUUUCUUUCUAUGUUUACUGUUAAUUACUGAGUGAGAAGAGUUAAGAUCUCCAAAGACAAUUGUAUGUGUUCUAUUUCCCUGUUCAGGUUCAAUCUGAGAGGUUGAUUCUCCUGGGGCAUUCUAGCUCUAGUCUAGCCCUGUUAUUAAGGUGUGGAAUUCCCUGGGAGUUGAAUGUGUUCUGUCUACUGUAUUUGUUCACAUCUUAAAUAUCUUCUAGCCCUGUGAUAAUUUUGACAGUUGUUCAGCUAACACUUCCCUGGUUAUUCUUUGGCCCAAGGACUUUUACACUGUUAAUGUUUAGCCUAGUUUAAAGCUAAAUACACAAAUAGACCCCCUCUGAGAUUUCUGAACCUCUUUUUCUGCCUAGCACCCUUCUCUCAGAUACUGUGCACUGCAAAUUUCAGGUGCUGCAGCCUCCUUGAACUCUGAUCUGUAUCUCCACAGCUCCACAAGACUCAUAUACUCUAUAUUUCUCCUCCCUGCAUUGGAAUCUGGCAAGUGGCUCCAGACAGAAAUGGGGGAAUCAUAAAAUUUACCUCAUUUAUUUCACUGUUUUCAGGGAUCACAGUACUGGGCUUCCUGCCGUCUACUCUCUGAAACUGUUGUUUACAGCAGUGGGAAGACGGGUCCAGUUUUAGUUUUUUUCUCUCAAGGCUGGAAAUGGAACUCUCCAUUUACUUGAAUAUCUGGCCAUCAUGAGCCUUUUUUGAUUUUCUUUUCUUUUCUUUCUUUCUUUCUUUUUUUUUGGUAGAGACAGGGCCUUACUCUAUCACCUAGGCUGGAAUGAAAUGGCACCGUCAUAGCUCACUGCAGCCUCUAACCCCUAGGCUCAAGCAGUUAUUGUGCAUCAUCCUCUUGAGUAGCUAGGAAUUACAUGCAUGUGCUACCAUGCCUGGCUAAUUUUUUAUUUUUUUUGUAGAGACCGUGUCCUUUUCUGAAAUAUUUUGACACUAAGACAGAUAGUCCUCAACUUGAUACACAUUCAUAGAAACCACACUUCAAAUUUUGACCUAUCCUGGGCUAAUGAUAUGUGGUGCAAUAUGGACACUGGGCAGUGACAGCAAGCGGUAUCUCCUAUCAGCCAUGUGAUCCUGAGGGUAAACAACAGAUACUCUAUAGUGUACUGUGUUGCCUGUGCUUUUUGAAAUGAUUUUGCCCAACUACAGGCUAAUAUAACUAUUCUUAGCACAUUUAAGAUAGGCUAGGCUAAGCUAUGAUGUUCAUUCAGUAGGUUAGGGGUAUUAAAUGCAUUUUCGACUUGAUAUUUCAGUUUAUGAUGGAUUUAUCUGGAUAUAGUCCCAUGGUAAGUUGAGGAGCAUCUGUGAUUUGCACCACCUAUUCUUCAUCACGAUUUAGAUGCCGUUUCAGCUGGUAGCUUACUCCGAAGGAGCUUUGAACUAUUUGCAUAUAAAGAGAGUUUCAUACUUCUACAUUCUCUGUGUUGCUGCACAUGUGUCAAUAGGUGGUCAUCAAAGACUUGAUUUUUGAUCAGGUUUGAUUCGACAGGCUGUACUGGUAGAUGGCUACCAGUAACCAUGAAGUAUAUUAAUCAAGUAGACCCAUCAGAGCCUCUAAAUGAAACCACUGUGUAAGUGGCCAAAGUUACUUUACACACCAAGAACAGCACCUGGAAAAAACCAUGGGAAAGUACUGAACUUGAGUCCUAAGAUCUGACACUAAGAUUGAAUGCCAGACCAGCUGCUUAUUUAUCUGACUUUGGUUGAAUCACUGAAGCUGCUCUUUCUCUAAAACGAAGUUAGGCUGGAUAAUCACUGAGACAUCUUCCGGCUCUUACUCUGUAAUGCUGAUUUGUACAUUUGCAUUUUUUAAAUUUAAUUCUAAUAUUUAACUAGGGUAGAGUUGCUUACCAGAAGAGGUUUUUUUUUUUCUUUCUUAAAUCGUGAGAUUUGCCACCUAUUGUUUUCCAUACUGAAAAAUGACCAGACAGUGCCUUGUAUGUUUACACACUGGCCAACUGGCUUCAUCAAAUGAAAUUAAUUUGCAAAUGGAUUUAAGAUCAUUUUAUAUAUAUAUAUAUACACACACACAUAUACACACACACACACACAUAUACUUACACAUACAUAUACAUAUACAUAUACAUAUACAUAUACAUAUACAUAUACAUAUACAUAUACAUAUACAUAUACAUGUGCCUUAUGGCAGAUCCCAUUCCUCUACAUAUGUGACCUGCUUAAAAAGCACCAUCUUUUAUUAUUCUCACAGGUCUAUUGGUAGUAUUUUAAACUAUGGGGGUUGCGGGGGGGCAAAGGUCCAAGCAUUGUGAUGUGAUUUACACCACACCAAAUUGUGAAGGCAUGAUUUAGAGAUCAUAGUGUUUUACAGUCUUUGCUCAUAGGUAGAUUUCUUCCUCAUACUGAUUUUUCUUGUGUUUUAUUAGUAUUUUACAUUCACUUGAAAUAAAACCUGGUUUACUUUGUCAGAAGUAUUAUAGUUUGAUCAUAUUGUACUGAAAACAUCUCUUCUGUUUAAUUUAAGCCCAUAAUUUGAAAUUGUUCUAAAAUGUUUCCUCCCACUCGUCCUCUCACUCUUCCUCCUCCUCUGUCUCCUCCUCCAUCUUCUUCCUUCCUCCUCCAGUAAAACUGAACUUGAUGCACCAUAGAAUUGAUAAUUGCUAGUCAACUAGGAAAAAUGCAGACACUUUGAGGGAUUGUGAGUGAUUGUUAGACAAGAUAUUUAAAGUGAUUUUGUUCCACCAGGAUAUUUAUAGUUUUCACAUUCACUGGGGGAGAGAAAUACAAGAUUAAGUGAUUUGAAAAUUAUAUUGAAGAGACAGUUUAUUCCUUUCUGCAUCUGUUUAACAGAUUGCACUAAGUAAUGAUUUUGCAUUGUGUGGUAUAUAUUUAACACAAUAUGAGUAGUAUUUAAGACUGUGUUAAAGAUUUUAUAUGUGAGGUGGUACCUGGUCCUUUGGAAAUCAGCAUAGGCUUUGGCAUCUCUGAUUUCAUUACAAUGCAUUUACUACUGUAUUUGAUAAAUGGGCUGUCCACCACUCAAUUAGAAAACCGACUAGAUACAGGGAGAGGAUACCAGUUCAUUUAAUAUAGGUAAAUAAUAACUUACUGGUGUAUAGAAGACACUUCAGUGUGGGGAUCCCAGUGGCAUUCUGCUAGGUAGCAUUGCACAGUUUCUGGCCCCGAAGGCUCACAAGGGUUCUUAGUUGUUUAUGAUACUAUCUGAUGGGGGUGGGAAUAUGGUCAGGAUUUUUGUAUAUGGGAGGUCUCUAAGAGUCUCUCCUCACCUGCCUGUUUCUAAUGACUCUUGAGACUAGCUAUAUGCUUGACUACUCCUUAGGUGGAACUAGUAACAAUCCCAGAAUAAUUUGAAAAUUCACUGCAAGACUGAGUGAGUUGAAGGUCAGUUUCUCAGGUGAAGCCCUUGCUAUAGUUUGGGUAUGAUUUGUUUGUCUUCACCAAAGCACAUGUUGACAUUUGACCCCCAGUGUGGUGGUGGUGGGAGGUGAGGCCUCAUGGGAGGUAUUUGGUUCAUGACGGAGGGGAUCCCUCAGGAGUGGCUUAGUGCUGUUCUUGCAGUAGUGUGAGUGAGUUCUUGCUCGUGUGAGACUGGAUGGUUCCCAGAAAAUAGAUUCAUUUGGGGUUUUAUAAAGUCAGGUUUGGUCUCUCUUCACAUGUACCUGCUUCCCCUUGAACCUUCUCCACCAUGUUUUGACACAUCAUGAAAUCCCUUAUGAGAAGCAGAGCAGAUGACUGUGCCAUGCUUCUUGUACAACCUGCAGAACCAUGGACCAAAUAAAUCUCUUUUCUUUCUAAAUUUUUAUCCACCCUCGCAUAUUCCUGUAUAGUAACAUAAAACUGACUGAGACAGUCUUCUUUCCCGCUUGUAGGUCCAGGCCACAGACUCUCCGGAAGUGUCUUUCCUCUUACCUAGUUUGUGAUUAUCUUUGCAAAUAAUUAAGGUUUGCAAAUAAAACUAAGAUCAUGUGAUGGUUAAUUUUUUGUGUCAACUUGCCUAAACCAUAGUACUCAGAUAUUUGGACAAAUCUCAUUUUAGAUAUUUCUGUGAAGGUGUUUUUUUAAGAUGAAUAUUUAAAUCAGUAGACUUUGGGUAAACCAGAUUACCCUUCAUACUGUGGGUGGACCUCAUCCAAUAAGUUGGAGGCUAUAAUAGAAAAAGGAAUUCUGUAAGCAGAUAGUUUUUGGACUUGGACUGCAACUUGGUGUCCAGCCUGCUGGCUUACCCUGUAGAUUUUGGAUUUGCUGCAUGCGUUAGUCUGUUUUCAUGCUGCUAAUAAAGACACACCCGAGACUGGGUAAUUUACAAAGGAAAGAGGUUUAAUUGACUCACAGUUCUAUGUGGCUGGGGAGGCCUCACCAUCAUGGCGGAAGGCGAAGGUGAAGCAAAGUCAUGUCUGACAUGGUGGCAGGCAAGACAGCAUGUGCAGGGGAACUCCCAUUUAUAAAACCAUUAGAUCUGAUGAGACGUAUUCACCGUCAUGAGAGCAGCAUGGGAAACAUCCACCCAAUGAUUCUACUACCUUCCACUGGGUCCCUCCCACGAAGUGGGAAUUAUGGGAGCUACAGUUCAAGAUGAGAUUUGGGUGGGGACAGAGCCAAACCAUAUCACUAUGCCUUUACAUUUCUUAGCCAAUUUCUUAAAGUAAAUCUCUCUUUCUCUCUAAACACACACACACACCCUCUUGGUUCUGUUUUCUCUGGUGAACCCUGACUACUACAGAUGCAUCUUGAAAUUCUUAAAGGUAAAAUCUAUUUGGAGCACUGCCUUAUAUUUUCCAGUAAAAAUAUAACUAUCUUAGAGCACAGGAAUUUUUGGCUGUUUUUGUAGAGGGUAGAAGCUUGGGAAAUCUUCAAUGAUCAUAAAUAUUUUUUGAAUGAAUGGCAAAUAAAAAACUUACAAUUAAUCUAACUGUGAUGACAUUUUUUCCCUAGCAGUGUAAAAGGUGUAAAGAUCUAUUAAUUUAGUUGUCUAAAGAAGAUGCUUAUGGCUUGCUGGAUUAUAGUGAUAUUUAACUAAGUUUUUAAAACAGAUAUUGACUAUUGAAAAUUUCUUUUGCAUGUUUCAGUAGCAUUUUACUUUCAACAUAUUUAUUUUUAAAAUUGCUGCUCAUUAGGGGAAAAGGAUUUGACCCUUCCCAUUUAAGGAGACUUGCUGGGAAAGACCAAUUUAUAUGUCAUUGACCAGAACUUAUUAGAAUUCUAGCCAGAAAGUCACAUGGGAGGCUGAGAAAUAUGGCCUUCCAGCUGAGCACAUCAACACUUCAAAUAAAACUUCGGUUCAGUUACUAAGGAGGAAGAGGAAGGUAGAUGGGAUAGGCAGCUAGCAGCCUCCAUCAUAGGGUGCUGUUUUUUGUUACUGUUAUUUAAAAUCUCAAUUGGUGGACAAGCAUUUUGCCUAGUUGUUGUCAAUAUUUGUAUACUAAAGCUGGCAGACCUGAAUUAUCAUUGCUUUUAGGGAACAAACAAAAACCACACAAUUUAAAUUAUUGAGAAGUGUUACAGCUGGCAGAAAUCUUAGAACUAAUUGUGCACAGCUACUUCAUUUUGCAGAAGAGAAGCUAAAGCCCAGAGAGGUAAAGUGGCUGAAGUGGAAAAGACUUCCUGAGAGCAUAAAGAUGGUCAUCUUGGCUGCAUCUACACACUCGUAGGCUCUGUUAUUUCAAGUUUAAUCAAAGAAAGUUAUCCAGCCCUUCAGUGCUGCAUUGUUUCUUCCCAUGAAACUUCACUGUACGAAUACCUGCCAUUUGGGAAUCAGCAUGCUCAAGUGAAGGUUUGCACAUUCUUGGCGUACCACUGAAACUAUGUUAUUUUUUAGCAGUGAAUGGAUUGUUCCCAUUAUUAGCAUCUUGUAAUAAUAACAGUGGGAAUUUAUUGAGAAUUAGUUUAUAAGCUCCAUGAAAGCAGGGAUCAAGUUUGAUUUCACGCGCCACUGUAUCUGUAGUGCCUAACAUAGCCCUUGAUGCAUAAUACGUAAUACAACAAAUAAAUAGCUGUUGGUUGAGUAGAUGUAGGGUUUAUGAGGUGGCAGAUGUGGUGUUAAGUACAAGUACUCUUCAUGAGUCAUCUCAUUUCAUCCUUGUAACAACCCCAUGAGGAAGAUAAUAUUUGAAACUAAAAUUUGAAAACGUGCCCAUAGAUAAAAACAGAGUGAGUGUUGGGACUUGGGCUAGUCUCUCUUACUCCACCCUAAAUUACUAGGGAAGCUGGAGGUUUUGGGGUUGAUUAUCAUAUGAAACAAAACUACUCUUAGAUUAAUUAUGAGGAAUUUAAAAAGCCUGACUAGUUGAUGUGUUAUCCAGCACCAAAGUAAGUUAAUUAGCUUAACAGAAAAAUGGAAGAAAAAGAUGGGAAAAAGCUGACCUGUUAGGUUAGUGAAGGAUUCUUGGGUAUUUUGGGAGGAGUGGGAUAAGUUUGAGUGGAGAAAAGUUAUUCAAUAAAGUUUUCACCCUAUCUUGUUUGAGAAACUUUCUUUUGAGCCAUGCAUUAAACUUGAAAAUGCCGUUCUGAAGUGUUAACAAAUAUAGAUCAUGGAUGAGAGACAUUUAAUCUUACUCCUGGGGUCCCAGGAUUUACUUCUGUGGUUCUAUGCUUUUUUUUUUUUUUUUUUUUAAAGGAAAUGGUGACUGUAGAACAGAGGAGAGCAGUGAGCUGUAAGAACUUUCUUACUGUGGUUUCUGGGCCCUGACAUUGCUUUUCUACAUUUACUGAAAGAAAACUUGUCUAUUUCUGUGUACAUGCUUUUGUUAUUUGCUUUUCUUGUUGUUGUUCCUAAGAUAUUUCUAAUGCUGGAAACCUGUCUUAGGAGGUGAUGAUGAUGUGACCCUGUAUCUUAGACGCCUACAUAAAGAUCCGAGUCCUGUGUCUGGAAUAGAAUCACCAACGCAGGCCUGUGGGUCCGGCAUGGCUUAGGGUGCUAGUCUUUGAAUAAUGGAUGUGGGCUGGUUGUGGCCAUAUUUCACCAAAGGCCUUGCUUUUUUCCCUCCUGUCAUAUAGCCAGAACCUGGUUGUUCUCAACUCUGGAUGUUUCUUAGAAUAAUCUGAGGAGACUUAAAAUAUUGAUGUCUGGGUUCCGCUAAAGAGUCUGAGUUGAUAGCUUUGGUGAGGGGUCAAGGCAUUCAUAUUGAUUUUAGAAGCACCCCAGGUGAUUCUAAUGUGUAGUCAGAGUUAAGAGCCAUUCUUGCAGCCUAACAAGGCCCCUGCCCCAAAACCAUUAUUUUUACCUGCCUUUUUCUCCCAUUCUGUAUCUUGUGUCAUCAGCAUUAGGGCUUUUGCUUCUACUGGAUGGCAUUUCUAAUUACCAUUAAAGGCUGUGUAAAGUCAGGAGGACAGGCAAGGUAGUUUCUAUGACAAGCACAGAGUGAGAUGUAUAUAGUAAUUAUUUAACUUUUUAAUUAAAAAUCAAUGAAUAAAUAAAUAAAGAAAUAGUAAAAAUGCAAUAAGUAUGAACUAGAAAAGUUUUAUAAUUUUUCUGUAACCAGUAGAUCCAAAUGCAGAUAAUCUGUCAAGAAAUAGAAAAAUUAGGCUAAAUGAAUGCUUUUCUUUCAAAAGGCUUUAAUAAAAAGGUCUCAGAAAGAACUGAAAAGAUGAAUCUGACCAAUUAUUUCAGAAGAAAUUGAGCCAGCUAUCAUAAAAAAAAAUCAGGCAUAAACAGUUUCCAGUUGGAUAAAUUUAAAUUAUUAAGGAUUAGAUGGCUGUUGGGCAGUUUAAAAGUAUUUUAGAACAGAGAAAGUGAACCUUCUGAAUUAUCUUUAUGUGGCCAGCAUAACAUUAGUAUAGAAAAUGAGAGUGGCACUUAAAAACAAUUAGCUAUGCAAUGUAAUCUUUUAUGAGAAUAUUGAUAUAAAAAUCCCAAAUAAAGUACAAGCAAAAGCAACCAAGCGAUGAAUAAAAGUAUAGCACCACAACCAAGUGAGGUUCAUUUUAGCAAAUCAAAGAUGGAUCGAUAGUGGAAAUCUGCUAGUGGAACUCUCUAUGUUGAUCAGUAAAGGAGGGAAAAAAGUGUUGAUAACAACAGAUGUGGCAAAUGCACUUAAAGUCAAUACAUACACUAGAUAAAUAGUAAAAUAGUAACACAUUAUAUUUCAGUAAUUUUCAUGAGUUAUUCCAUUAUGUCUAAUGGUGAAGAACUAGAACCAUUUUUUAGUUAGAAACAGAAGAGGAUACAGCAAUAACCACUAUUAUCUACCAUAUGUACCAUAUUUUAGAGCACCAAUGAACAGUGCUUUCUAUGUUCCUUGCAAAUCAUUUAAUCCUCCCCAAACACUGCAAGAGAGAUACUAUUAUUCCCAUUUACUGAUGAGAAAAUAAUAGCACAGACAAAUAACUUGCCCAUACUGACACUGCUCAGAAGUAGCAGAGCUUCGAUUUGAGUCUGCCUACACUGCCCCUCUAGGAAGAAAAUUAAUGAUGAUAAGAUACUUGAAUAAAUGAAGAUCCAAUGAUAAUUUUGAAAGGAGGACAUUUUCUCUAAAUUUUAUUUAUGAAUUAAAUUAUACUGCAAUUGUAAUUCCAGUAAGAUUUUCUUAACUUGCAAAAAUGAUUCCAAAAUUCCUCUAGAUGAAUAGAUAUUAAAGAGUAGUCAGAAAAACUAUACGGAAGUAUAAUGUGAAAGGACUUACAUUUGUGGUAAUGCAGUGAGCAUGGAAAUGGCCCAGGAAGAAACCGAAAAUGGUGAGUAUAGAACAGGUGUCAAUAAACUAAGGCUAGCAGAGGAGAAUCUAAAGCCCAGAGAGGUACAGCCACAGUCAACAUUUACAUAUGACCUAUGGCGACUCUCAUACUACAACAGCUAUGUAGAUGUGACAGAGAUCAUAUGGGUGGCAAAACCAAAAAUAUUUACUCUCUGGUCCUUUACAGAAAAAGUUCGCCAAUCCCUAGCAUAAAGUCCAUACUUAAGUGAAUAUAGAAGCCACUUAAAAUUAGUCAGGAGGCUCUUGGGGCAAGAUGGCUGGCUAGAUGCAGCCAGGUGGAACAGUUGCCACCCAGGGACCUGAAAGAUUGGUGCAAUCCUAACAUGUUCAGAGGGAAGGCACUGAAAGUGGAUACAGAGAAGACACAGAAACUGGCUGAAGUGGGAGGGAGCUGGGAACCCUGCAUGGGGCUGUUGCACAAGGGGAGGGACUUGCUCCAGCCCCAUGACUCAGAACGGGUGAGUUUAACUGGCAAGGAGCAACUUACUCUUGCCACAAGCCUCUGGAAUCCUAAAAUGAGACGUCUGGAUUGCCACAGACACCUGAGUUGGGAGGAAGAGCUACUCAGAGAAGUGGUGGGGGCAGCACUUCAGCCGGUGAAGAGCCCAGAGGGUUUGGUGUGGGAGUGUCUGUAGUGGAGCAUGGCUGAUGCCCAUCCCCUAGGCUCCACUUGCUUCCACAGUUGACUUUAAUCUUAGGGGAACUGUUGGACCUGAACUCUGCAAGGCAGUGUUGCCCAUCAGAUGGGGGUGCUCCAACCUGAUCACCCUUGGCCUGCUGUGCUCUCCUGGGGGCCCAGCCUGUGUGCCUCUGCUUGCAGUGCAGCCUUAGAUGCCAAAGGGGCCUGCAUCCCACCUCCUUCACUGGCAGACAGCCCUUCACAGGAGACCUCCAGCAGGGCAGCCCAGUGGACCCAUAUCAACCCGCCUGCUCCCUUGUCCACUGCAGCUCACCUGGGCCACGGCCACCCACCACACUGCCUUGCUGGCACUCAUGUGCCCCAGUGGAUUUUAUCUUCCCUAACUACCCACCAGUGCAUGUGUGUGAGUGCACCCCGCCAUGCCACUGCUGCUGGCAUGAGUGUCUCGGCUCCCCCAUCGCCCCUGCCUCCCAUCUCCAGCUGUACCACCACUGUAGUCUGAGCCUUGGCAGGCAUACAGCUUGUCAGCUCCUCCUCUGUCAGCACCUCACUCCUGCACCAACACUGUCCUAGGAGUGAAACUAGGCAUGGAGAACAGCAGACCCUCUCCUGCAGUCGCCUUCGCCUGUGUGAACACACAGGGUUCACACUGUCCUGAGCCCCACUGGCUCUCCAGCCCAGUGCUACCACCAUCACCAGUGCAACUGUGUGCACAGUCACCAGCAGGGACCCCAGCCCCAGAGCCGUGCUGUCUCCAUCACAGCUAUGAAUUCCUGCAGGGAGGCUGGUACCCUGGCACCUGCUAGCACACUAUUAAAGUCCAUUAGCAUGUACUCUGCUGGGCUGUGUACAUGCAAAGAGGACGUAUCUGGCUCCUAUCAUUCUAGGAAAAGCUUUGGCUGACACCACCCAUCAGAGUGCUGAGACCAGCCAUUAGGUAGAAUUUCAGCAACUCCCCUUACACACCAACACACACUAGUGCAGUGGGUUCCUAACCUCCAGGAGUCAGAGAACAAAGUUGAAGCUCUUUAAUGGUUUCCCAGAGUUAGAGCAUGCAGUACAGGAGUUCUGAGCUGAGCCUUGGCUUCCUAAAAUAGUCCAGAAAUGAAGCCAGUUGACUGAACCCACCUAUGCCACAAUCAAACCCUCAAGGUCAUCAAAUAGGAUAAAAGAAAUAAGAAACCCAUUGAAAGGACAGCAAUUUCAAAAGCAGAAGGAACAACAGCCCACAAAGAUGAGAAAGAACCAGUGCAAAGACUCCGACAACUCAAAAAGCCAGAGUGUCUUCUUUCCUCAUAAAGACUGCACUAGUUCUCCAGUAAGGUUUCUGAACUGGGCUGAGAUGGCUGAAAUGACAGCAAUAGAAUUAAGAAUAUGGAUAAGAAUGAAGAGCAUCGAGAUACAGGAAUACAUUGAAACCCAAUCCACCAAAGCUAAGAAUCACAAUAACAUGAUGCAGGGUUUGACAGACAAAAUAGUCAAUAUAAUAAAGGAUGUAAUGACCUGAUGGAACCGAAAAACACACUACAAGAAUUUCAUAAUGCAAUCACAAUAUUAAUAGCAGAAUAGACCAAGUUGAGGAAAGAAUCUCAGAACUUAAAUACUGGCUUUCUGAAAUAAGAUAAUUAGACAAGAAUAGGGAAAAAGCAAAAAAGAAAGAACAAAACCUCUGAGAAAUAUGGAUGUAAAGACACCAAAUUAUGACUCACUGGUGGUCCUCAAAAAAGAUGGGGAGAAUGGAAGAAACUUGGUAAACAUAUUUUAGGAUCUCAUCCAUGAAAAAUUCCCCAACCUGGCUAGAGAGGCGAACAUCCAAAUUCAGAAAAUGCAGAGAACCCCAGUAAGAUACUUCACCACAAGAUCGUCCUCAAGACACAUAAUCACCAGAUCAUUCAAGGUCAAAAUGAAAAAUAUUAAAGGCAGCUUGAGAGAAAGGUCAGGUCACCUACAAGGUGAAGCCCAUUAGUCUAACAGUGGACCUCUCAGCAGAAAUCAUACAAGCUGGAAAAGAUUGGGGACAAAUAUUCAAUAUUCUUAAAUAAAUGAAAUUCCAACCAAUAAUUUAAUAUCCAGCCACUCCAACCCCAAAGCUAGCAGAAUACAACAAACAACCAAAAUUAGAGCUAAGACUAAGACUCAUAAGCAAAGGUGAAAUAAGAUCCUUUUCAUACAAGCAAAUGCUAAGGGAAUCCACUACCACCAGACCUACCUUAUAAGAGCUCCUGAUGGAAGCACUAAAUAUGGAAAGACCAUUAUCAGCCACUACAAAAACACACUUGAGUAUACAGACCAGUAGCACAAUAAAGCAACCACACAAACAACCCAGGAUAAUAACCAGCUAUCAACACAAUGACAGGAUCAAAUCCACACAUACUAAUUCAAACUUUGAGUGUAAAUGGGCUCAAUACCCCACUUAAAAGGCACAGAGUGGCAAGCUGGUUAAAAAAGCAAGACUCAGUGGUAUGCUGAGACCCAUCAUAUUUAAUGACAUGCAUAGGUUCAAAAUAAAUGGAUGGAGGAAGAUCUACCAAGAAAAUAGAAAACAGAAAAAAGCAGGAGUUGUAAUCCCAAUUUCAGACAAAACAGACUUUAAACCAACAAAGAUCAACAAAGACAAAGAAGGGCAUUAUAUAAUGGUAAAGGGUUCAAUUCAACAAGAAGACCUAGCUAUCUUAAAUAUAUAUGCACUCAACACCAGAGCACCCAGAUUCAUAAAGCAAGUUCUUAGAUACCUUCAAAGAGACUUAGACUUCCACACAAUAAUAGUGGGAGACUUCAACAUUUCACUGGCAGAAUUAGAUCAUUAAGGCAGAGCAUUAACAAAGAUAUUUAGGACGUGAACUCAGCACUGUAUUAUGGACCUGAUAGACAUUUAUAGAACCCUCUAUGCCCAAACAAGAGAAUAUACAUUUCUCUCAUUGUCACAUGGCACAUAUUCUAAAAUUUACCACACAAUCUGACAUAAAAUAAUUUUCAGCAGCUGCAAAAGAACUGACAUCAUAUCAACCACUCUCUCAGAACAAAGCACAAUAAAAUUAGAUUAUCAAGACUAAGAAAAUCCCUCAAAACUAUGUGCUUACAUAAACAUUAACCUAAUUUUGAAUGACUUUUGGGUGAAUAAUGAAAUUAAGGCAGAAAUUAAGAAAGUCUUUGAAACUAAUGAGAACAAAGAUACAGCAUAUCAGAAUCUCUGGGACACACCUAAAGCAGUGUUAAGAGAGUCAUUUAUAGCACUAAAUGCCUACAUCAAAAAGUUAGCAAAAUCUCAAUUUAAUAACCUAACAUUACAACUAAAAGAACUAGACAACCAAGAGGAAACCAACCCCAAAGCUAGCAGAACUCAACAAAUAACUGAAAUCAGAGAUAAACUGAAGGAGACAGACAUGAAAAAUCAUUUAAAAGCUCAACAAUUCAAGGAAUUGGUUUAAAAAAUUAAUAAAAUACACCACUAACUAGACUAAUAAGGAAUAAAAAGGAGAAAAUCCAAAUAAACACAAUUGGAAAUGACACAGAGGAUACUACUGCUGACCCCAAAGAAAUACAAAUAACCAUCAGAAUAUUAUGAACACCUCUAUGCACAUACACCAGAAAACCUAGAAGAAAUGGAUACAUUUCUGCAUGCAUACAUCCUCACAAGACUGAACUAGGAAGACGUUGAAUCCCUGAACAGAUCAGUAACAAGCUCAGAAAUUAAAUCAGUAAUAAACAGCCUACCAACCAAAAAUAGCCCAGGACCAAAUAGAUCAAAGCUAAAUUUUACCAGAUGUACAGAGAAGAGCUGGUACUCUUCCUAUUGAAACUAUUCCAGAAAAUUAAGGAGCAGGGACUCCUUCCUAACUCAUUCUAUUAAGCCAGCAUCAUCCUGAUACAAAAACUUGGAAAAGACACAACAAAGAAAGAAAACUUCAGCCCAAUAUUCUUGAUGAACAUUGAUGCAAAAGUCUUCAACAAAAUACUGGCAAACCAAAUUCAGCAGCACAUCAAAAAAAAAUGUUAUCCAUCAUGAUCAAGUAGGCUUUAGCCGAGGGUGCAAUUUGAUUCAACAUACGCAAAUCAGUAAAUGUGAUUCAUCACAUAAAUAGAACUAAAGGCAAAAACCACAUGAUUAUCUCAGUAGACACAGAAAAGGCUUUAGAUAAAACUCAUCCCUUCAUGUUAAAAACUUUCAAUGAACUAAAUAUUGAAGGAACAGUCCUCAAAAUAGUAAGAGCCAUCUAUUAAAAACCUACAGCUAAUAUUGUAAUAAAUGGACAAAAGCUGGAAUCAUCCCCCUUGAAAACUGAUACAAGACAAGGAUGCCCUCUCUCAACACUCCUAUUCAAUAUAGUAUUGGAAGUCCUGGCCAGAGAAAUCAGGCAAGAGAAAGAAAUAAAGAACAUCCAAAUAGAAGGAGAGGAAGUCAAACUGUCCCUGUUUGCAGACAAAACGAUUCUAUCUAAAAAUCCUUAUAGUCUUGGCCCAAAAGUUCCUUAACCUGAUAAACAACUUCAGCAAAGUCUCAGGAUACAAAAUCAACAUACAAAAAUUGCUAGCAUUUAAUACAUGAAAAACAGUUAAGCUAAGAGCAAAAUCAGGAAUGCAGUCUCAUUCAGAAUUGGCACAAAAAUAAUAAAAUCCCUAGGAAUACAGCUAACCAGGGAGGUGAAAUAUGUCUACAAUAAGAACUACAAAAUAUUGCUAAAAGAAAUCAGAGAUGACACAAACAAAUGGAAAAACAUUCUAGGCUCAUAGAUAGAAAGAACCAACAUCAUUAAAAUGCCCAAAACAAUUUAUAGAUUCAAGGCUUCUCCUAUCAAACUGCCAUUGAUAUUCUUCACAGAACUAGAAAACAAUAUUUUAGAAUUUAUAUGGAACCAAAAAAGAGCCUGAAUAGAGAAGGCAAUUCUAAACUAAAAGAACAAACCUGGAGGCUUAUGCUACCCAACUUUUAACUAUACUACAGAGCUACAAUAACCAAAAUGCAUGGUACUGGUACAAAAACACACACACAGACCAAUGGAACAGCCUAGAGAGCCCAGAAAUAAGGCCGUACACCUGCAACCAUCUGAUCUUCGACUAACUUGACAAAAAUAAGCAAUGAGGUAAGAACUCCCUAUUCAAUAAAUGGUGAUGGGUUAACUGGCUGGCCAUAUACAGAAGGUUGAAACUGAACUUCCUCCUUAACACUAUGUACAAAAAUAAGCUCAAGAAGGAUUAAAGACUAAAACGUAAAACUCAAAACAAUAAAAGCCCUAGAAGACAAACUCUGGAAGGCAAUACCAUUCUAGAGUAGGAAUAGGAAAAUAUUUUAUGAUGAAGAUGCCACAAGGAAUUGCAACAAAAGCAAAAAUUGACAGUUGGGAUCUAAUAAAUGUGAUAGUUUUUUUACUGAACUUCUGCACAGUAAAAGAAACUAUCAACAUGACAGAACAGUCUACGAGAUGGAAGAAAAUUUUUGCAAGGUAUGAAUCUGACAAAGGUCUAACAUCUAACAUCUAUAAGGAGCUUAAACAAAUUUACAAGAAAAACAACCAAACAAUCCCAUUAAAAAGUGAAGGAAGGACAUGAAAAGACACUUUUCAAAAGACAUGCAUUUAGCCAACAAGUGUAUAAAAAAUGCUCUGAUCACUGAUCACUAGAGAAAUGCAAAGCAAAAUCACAAAGAGAUACCAUUUCACACUAGUCAGAAUGGCUAUUACUAAAAAGUCAAAAAAUAACAGAUGCUAGAGAGAUUGUGGUAAAACAGAAACACUUAUGCACUGUUGGUGGGAGUAUAAAUUGGUUCAGCCACUAUGGAUGAACAGUGAAUUGUUGGUGAAAUGGGAACACUUAUACACUGUUGGUGGGAGCAUGAAUUGGUUCAGCCACUGUAGUUCAGCCAUUUGUGGCAAUUCCUCAAAGAGCUAAAAACAGAACUACCAUUUGACCUAGGAAUCCUGUUCCUGGGAACCUACCCAAAGGAAUAGAAAUCAUUCUAUCAUAAAGACACAUACACACAUAUGUUUAUUGCAGCACAUGAUUCCAUGUCUUUGCUGUUCACAAAGCAAUAUUCACAAUAGCAAAGAUAUGGAAUUAACCUAAAUGCUCAUUAAUGGUAGACUGGAUUAAAAAAAAUAUAUGGUACAUAUACACUACAGAAUACUAAGCAGCCAUAAAAAGAACAAUAUCAUGCUCUUUGCAGGAACAUGAAUGGAACUGGAGACCAUUAUCCUUAGCGAUUGAAUGCAGGGACAGAAAAGCAAAUACUCCAUGUUUUCACUUAUAACUGGGAGGUAAAUGAUAAGAACGCAUGGACACAUAGUGGGGAACAAUAGACACGGGGGGCUACCUGAAAGUAGCAGGAGGGAAGAGGAAAAAUGGAUACUAGGUUUAAUACCUGGGUGAUGAAAUAAUCUGUACCACAAACCCCAUGACACGAGUUUACCAAUAUAACAAACCUGCACAUAUACUCUAAACUUAAAAGUUUAAAUAAAUAAAUAAAAAUAAGUGGGACUGUUGAUUAUGGCAGUUGUCUUAUUCUCCAAUGCAUGGAGAUUACAAGUAGUAAGUAAUAAUAGUAAUAAGAGAAAACAUUGCUUUUGUAAACCUGGGAAUUACAGGUUUUUUCAGGGAUUCUAUAAACCAAGAACCAUAAAGAAAGAAUUUCAAAUUAUGACUACAAACUAUAUUUUAAAUGGCAGAGAGACAGCAAAAACAGUAUUGAUAGGUAAAUGACAAACUUGGAAAAUAUUCAUAAGAUGUGUUUAACAUGGUUUAACAUUUAGUGUUCAGGGUUCAGUUACAGAUUAUGGAACCCACUCUGGUUCUUUAAGCAGGAAAGGAUUUAAUGUACAGAAUUAGGUGAUUCUUAAAUCGUUGUAAGGGCCAAAGGAGAAAAUUUUCAAACUGGGCUACCAAGCCAACUGCUGCUCUUGUUCACCCAGGAGGCUGCUGAGGAGGCUGCUGAGGAGGCUGUGAUCUCUUCUGGUGGUUACUGGGUCACAGGGCCGCAGCUGUACGCCAAGGAUCAGGAAGCUGUCACAGCUGUAAGCCAAGGAUCAGGAAGCUGUGGUUGGAACUGUUGGAUCAUGGGCCACACCAAGCCCUCUGACUCCACAGCAGCAAAAAAGAAGAAGAGAAAAUACAGAGCAACACAGAGGAGACCACCAUAUGAAGACGGAGGUAAAGACUUGAGAGACACAUCUAAAGCUACGGAUUAUUGGCAACUACUAGAUGGAGGUGUUUCUAUAAAAGGGACACAAAAGAGAGACGCAGAGAGAAGAUGAGAAGACUGAGGCAGAGAUGGGAGUGAUACAACCAGGAGCCAAAGAUGCCUGCCACACUUUGAUUUCGAAUAUCUCACCUUCAGAAUUGCAAGAAAAUCAAUUUCUGUUGUUUUAAGCUAUCAAAUUGUGAUCAUUUGUUACGGUAGCCCUAAGAAACAAAUACAGAAAGUACUGAAAUGGGAGAGUUCCCUGAUCUGCCUUGCAGGACGUGAGACAGGGGUAUGGCUCACCUGGUCGGUUGCUGCUGCUCCUCAAACCUCCGAGAAGAGAGGGAGCACGAAGACGGGCAGAUGCAGGAGCUGGGGUUUUCUCACAUCUUUGCCUUCAUCCAACAUGUGGCACACAACACCUCUGCUUUUCCCUGGUCAUUGAUGGCUGCUUUCUGCUCGGCCGUGGGGUCUGUUUGCUGGUCACCUUUUGGAACUCUGGGAAAAACAUCCGCUAGUUGUGCCACUGUGGCUACCAUUGUUCCUUCGAGGAGAAUUGGUGGAACCAAAGCUUUCCUACUGUCAUGACUUUUAUCAUUCCUCCAAGGCAUCAUUUACUGCCAGACUGUUAUAUACAAGAGACUUGAACCAUUGUGAGUUGUCACAGAGAGACUGCGGUGCAGAAAGGAAAUCUGACAAAGCAGUGCCUGUACUCUCAGUACUGCUCAAGUCCUCUAUAUCCUCCAACCUAGGGAAAGGUCCUUGUUCAUCUCUUUCCUGACCUUCUCUCCCAGUGAGAAAAUCACAUUUGGAUAGUACUUGUUAAUGUCCCCUUUAUCUUGAUAUAUGCAGUACCCUCCCCCCCCCCGCCCCACAGUAAUGAUUGCUGCCUCACUUCUUGAGCUGGUACCUCUUUGUAUCUCCUGCCCUUAGACGUGGAUUUACACCACUGGCCUGGCUCCCUGGUUCUCAGGCCUUUGUGCACAGAUAGAUUACACUAACAACUUUCCUACAUCUCCAGCUUGGAGAGAGCAGAUCAUGGGACUUCUCAGCCUUCAUAAUCCUGUGAGUUAGUUCUUUUUAAUGAAUACCCCCACUGUAGCUAUAUGUGUCGUGUAUGUGCAUAUGAGUGUGUGUGUAUCCUAUUGGUUCAGGUCCUCUGUAGAUUCUUGACUAACACACCAACAUUAUAGAAACUUGCUUGCUCCUUUUUCCAGCUAUCUAUUGCUGUGGCACAACUUGCCCCAAAGCAGAGUGCUAUAAAUUUAUAUAUAUAUAUUUUAUGUAUAAUUUACCCCUAAGGUUAACCAUGGAUUCCUAUGGAUUCCCUACUUUUGUUUAAAAUUGUUGUUUUUUCCCUUCUUUUGCCUUAUCUGUAUUUAUUUUUCUACAAUGAGCACAUAUUGUUUCUGUAAUAUAAAAAAAUCUAAUUUUUAUUACAAACAAAAGAUGGGGCUUUAAACUGAGUACCCUAGUGAUUCAGGUCUUUCCAAAGCCUUUUCCCCUGAGUUUUAGAUUUCUCAUUACUUUCUCUUUAACCUUGACAGCAAAUGUUUAGAAUGUAGUAUAGAACAAGACAGUGUGGUUUCCAAUGUCAAUGCCUUAUGACUUUUUCAAUACUUUUAAGACAUGUGAUCAGAGACCAGGUCCUAAUAAAGACAUGAGGUGGUGCCCAAAUUAGUAGAAACAUCAAUUUAGUUAGUGAGCAACUUGAGGAAGGAAAGAGCUGAAUUUCUUGGCAGGCAGAAAAUGCAUAGAUUAUACUCUGGAGCCUCAGAAAAUGGCAUUAUAGGAGUUGUCUGUGGAAACAAGAUAAAGAUGAUGUCAUCUUAUAAUAAGAUCCUCAGGGGCUCUAUAAAGGCCUAACACACACUGAAUUCUACUUGAAGCAAGAGAUGUCCUGAUUCCAAUGUCAAACGCAUUUUUCUAACUCCUAGUUUUUAAACUUCGAGAUAACAAUAAAGUGGGCAUCCUGGCUGCCUCUUCUCAAACACCUUGUUCUUUUAAAUUCACUUCCUUCCUGAUUAGCUUUUUGACGUGUGGGUAAAAAGGUUGAAUGAAACGUGUGAAGAUCAAGGGCAAAGAUUUCACAGUUUAGGAACAUACAUAGGCGCUGUCUGCAUACCUCAUUCUGUGCUAUACACUUUCUCACAUGUUAGAAAAGACUUAUGGUAAUGAUAACGACAUGACCACUGAUUGAGUACCCACUGUGUCCCAGAUGUAGUGUUAUAUCCAUGUGUCAGUCAGUCCUUAAAAAAAUAGGUCAAUCCUAUUGCCUCUCAUUUUACAGAUGAAGUAACUGACACUCAGCAAGGUUAAGUGAUUUGCCUAAGGCCACGUAGCAAAUACAAAGCCAUUCUAGGAUAUUAAACACAGUAUUAAAGUCUUUUUACCCUCAAUCCUGAGAUACUGCCAUUGACUUUAUUAUGAAACCUCCUUGAUGUUGAUUAUUAAAUGUGUCUUUUGCUCUGA